CGAAUAGGGGAGCCGGAGGGAAACCGAGUCUUAAUUGGGCGUUAAGUUGCAGGGUAUAGACCCGAAACCCGGUGAUCUAGCCAUGGGCAGGUUGAAGGUUGGGUAACACUAACUGGAGGACCGAACCGACUAAUGUUGAAAAAUUAGCGGAUGACCUGUGGCUGGGGGUGAAAGGCCAAUCAAACCGGGAGAUAGCUGGUUCUCCCCGAAAGCUAUUUAGGUAGCGCCUCGUGAAUUCAUCUCCGGGGGUAGAGCACUGUUUCGGCUAGGGGGCCAUCCCGGCUUACCAACCCGAUGCAAACUGCGAAUACCGGAGAAUGUUAUCACGGGAGACACACGGCGGGUGCUAACGUCCGUCGUGAAGAGGGAAACAACCCAGACCGCCAGCUAAGGUCCCAAAGUCAUGGUUAAGUGGGAAACGAUGUGGGAAGGCCCAGACAGCCAGGAUGUUGGCUUAGAAGCAGCCAUCAUUUAAAGAAAGCGUAAUAGCUCACUGGUCGAGUCGGCCUGCGCGGAAGAUGUAACGGGGCUAAACCAUGCACCGAAGCUGCGGCAGCGACACUGUGUGUUGUUGGGUA
rnacentral:rRNA from 1 species